CUGACAGCAAGAGCCAUAGCUAUGCUCCAGCAUAGACUUUCACACAUGAUGGGCUGAAAACCUUUCUGGGAAUCCCUAAGCAUGCAAACUGAUUAUUUAAACCUUUUUUCUUUCUGCAUUAGAUUUUCAAGUUUGAGUAUUGUUUCCGGAGUAUGGUGGAUCUGCCGUGGCAAAUUCAUUGUACAGAAGGGUGGAUGAGGAAGAAGGUUUGGGUAGCUUGGUAUGUGCAUGAAUGAAGUUGGUUGCCCCUAAGGAUCAAAUCCACAAUAGAGGUCAAAGAGAGUUUUCUUGUGGGGAAGAAAGCAAAGAGAACAUUUGGAAGAGAACAGAGUUAUGUUCAGAUCCCUCAGACCAUAUCCCACUUCAGGGAAGUAGCAGGUGGACCUUCUUACCUACUUUGUGUAUGCCCUUUCCCUCCUUUGUGUAGUUUCCACUUCAGCAGCAUCUGAAGACCUUCAGAUUAAGUAGCAGCCACACUCUGAUAGCUCUUGAAGAGCCACUGAACAACUUUUUCUCAUAAACCUUGGCCCUGUAAAGCAGAGUGUUUGCCCAGACUCCUUGAAGAUGCAAACCUCAGUGAUUUUAAUGGAGCGGCUGGCCUAGAGAAACAGACUUCAGGCAUUGUAUGUGGGAUCUGAAAGGUGGAGAGAAAGGACUGGGGAUGAAGAACAGCAGAGGAAAGGCAAAACACCACCCCUACAUAAUGCAGGGUAUGUCUUCACAGCUGUCUAAAAAUAACAGCUGAAGUAAUUACAAAAGUAACAACGACUCAUACAGACAAACCUGAACUAUCUUCAAGCUAGAAAUCUUGGACAGUGAUUACUUUGCCUCUGUUUCCCUCAUAGUCCUUUAAAAUAAGACCAAGGCAACACUCCUUGGCUGCUCAUAAUGGGAAGUCUUGUACCAUCUGAUGGCUAUUAUGGGAUUCAAAUAAUAUUGCAUUGUCUGGGGCAGCAAUUGGAGGAGAUCAUUGUAUAUUCGAGUUUAACUUUAUAUGACCUCAAACAGCUUUCAGCAAAAGCAGCAGAAUCUGUAAAGACAGAUUCCACACCAGAAGGAGAGUAAACAAACAAAACAGUACAAGAACACAGUGGUUCAUAUAACCAUGGCAUCUUGUUGCAUCUUCAUCAAAACUAAAAGAGCUACAGAGGAAAAAAGCCAAGGAAAGCCAACCCUUAUGAAAAAUAAGAGCAGCAAUAAGAAAGCAGACUGAAAAAAAGAAGCAUUUUUUAAAAUAAACUGCAGCACAGAUAUACAUACAGUGGGUAGAAGAGAUGUGACACACAGGCUUUUAAGAAAUAGAGAAGGAAUAACAAAUGUGCAGUGUUUUGCCCUCAACAAAUUAAUUUGUCAGGAGCUUGAAGAGUUCUCAUGUUUGGUGGGGUUUUUUUUGUUGUUUUUGGGUUUGGUGGUUUUUUUUGGAAAGAAGGGUGUUUUCACAGAAUACACUAUGUGUGCAUAACAAGUCAUUUAAAUCAAUGUUGUACAUUGUCUUUAGGCAAUUAUUUUCUCUGCUAUUUGUCAAAGGUAAGAAGUAAAUUCCAAGCAGUUUUGAACUGCUAUUUUGUUGUAAUUAUCUUUCCCUUUUAAAAAGAUACUGUGAUUUAUGAUGCAAAAUGAGUGCUUCAGGGUUACUUUCUGGCAUUCAUUAUGUCAAAGAAAGAAACAAUCCAGGUACAUAAGAGAGUGGUAGAUGCAAGAGUGUGCAAUGCUGCCUGAAAUUAAUUUGAAAACUGAAGAUUUAUUAAAUGCACUUUGUGUACUUGAUAGCAGCAUUAGAUCUAUUGGCUGCCAUCUGAGUACAAUGCCUGCCUCUGGUAAAAAUUUUAAACUUUGCUCACAUUGUUUGAACGGUCUUGUAAGAGUGUGUGUGCCUGUGAAAGGUGUCUGUGUGUACACGUGCAUGUAUGUGUGCUCUGGUCUCCACCAGGGAGCCAGGGAUCAGAUUCCUAGGAUACAAGAAGGUUAAUGGUGCUCCACUAAGUGUGGCUCAGGGGCAACAGCAUUAAUAUUGUUGUCCAGAGAUGUGAAAAAUGCACAGCAAUAAGAGAUAUCUUAAAAGUAGUAAUUUAAUCCGCUCUUAGGGUUAUGUUUUCUGAAUUUCUCUGGAAGGAUCCAGCUGUGUGAUUUCCAUUAGUAUCCUGUAAGAAUUUUUACAGCUUCUGGACUACUGCUACCCUAAAUCCCACUGGAAAUGCUUAACUGUACCUGUCAUCAGCAUCUUAGCCUAUAGUAUCCAUACUAAUUUGUUUUCCCCACUUGAUGUAUCUUCUCUGGAAUUCCUGGUACAUGGAACCACUGUACAGUGCAGUCUUACAAAAAGUUAAGGAGGCCACAAACUUCCCUUCAUUGCCUUUACUUAAAUAUUAAAAUAUUCUCCCAUUUGGAGUUUGGGGGCAUGAAAUUAGUAAUGAACCUACAAUAUUAAAAAAAAAAAAUCAGAAUAAGAUUUUUUGUGGAUUUUUUGUUUGCUUGUUUGUUUUUGUUAAAAGAUGAGAAAAAAUUAAUAGUUUGAAAACUACUUUUUUUCUGAAAUCCUCGACAUAUUAGGAACAUGAGGAGAUAUUCACAAAGAUUAGCUUUAGUCAUUAAGAGACUAAACUCUAAUUUGCAAAAGACCUUCUUGGAACAGGUGGAAAUAAAUAAAAGGAAGCCCUAUUUUGACUGAAAGGAGGAUCCUCUCUCUCUUUUGCACUCCCACUCUUUUCCUUGCCACUGAAUACAGAGUUAUUUUAGGAAGCUCUCUUCUCCAAAAAUGCAAUUAAUUAUUUCUUGAAGAUGACCUUGCCUGAAGUGGAGGAGCAGGACUCUAUGACUUCUGAAUCUGACUGAAUUAUUCCAUUAUUCUGUUUUGAUCUAACUUCACUGAGAGUAUGGGUUGUGAUGUUCUUACUGAUGAUGGUCUCCACUCUGCAUUAUACCUUAGCUUUCCAAACUUCUGUUAUUUAGGAGAGAAACUUAUUGUUUGAAUAUGCCAGUCAAAAAUAGCACAAUACUUUUCUGCUGGCAAGUAUCCUGAAGAUGUUUUGGAUAAUUUGGAAAGCAGUCAAAAGAAAGUACAUGUGCAUUUCAGACAUCAUCAUGAUUCCCUUCUCCACACAAGUCAUCACUCAAAUAAUUUUGUGCACUUCUGUACAUCUUAUCAUUAAUUUUCGAUGGGUAGAGUUGGAUCCAUUACUAAUCAGUGUAUAUUCACCGAUUAUACAAGUUGCUUUUCAUAAACUCCAGGACAGCUUGGAGAGCUGAUGACAUCAAAAAUGAAGCAAAGCAUUUCCUUUUGAUGUCAGCUGUCCUGCCACAGCUUAUUGGAUUGGUGUUCUGUGCUUGUCUACUCUGGGCUUCUUUUUGUGCAAGUUUUAGUGUUCUCUGAUUUCCUUUAUUUAAAAGGAUAUCAGCAGUAGAGUGAUGCCAGAAGUCACACUGGUCCACAAUACACUCCAUAUUCUAAGCUCAAACAAGGAUAUGACUUUAUUAAUUCUAAUAAAUUUGGGUCAGAUUUUUGUCUUACCUUGUCAGCAUGUUGGAUACAAGAAAAAGACUGUUAAAUUCAAUUAUAUCAGACAUCCAUAUUGCUGAUAUACAGUUUGUAUCUGCUUUUAAAGCACUGACUGCAGGCAAAAUAACUCUCAUCCUUCUCCUCAAUUAAUAUUUGAUUGAUUGAUUCCCUCAUUCUGAUAUUUGGUUAAGGGAUCCUAUGUUUCAUGUAGAUAGAGUUGCAUAGUGAAGAGAUUAUUUUCAUUGUAAUUCAGGUCAGCAAUGUGUUGGUUUGGGGUUUUUUUUUUGCGUUAUGUGACCAAGAAUCUGAAGAGAGUAGACCGCCAUCCAUAAGGCAGCAGAGCUUUUCUUUCUAUUGUUGGAACUUUCCACAUACAAUUUAUGUGUUUGAUAUUAAUGUUUGCAAUAAAUCUCAACCAAAAUGCACGAGGCAACAUACCAGGAAGAAGCAUUUUGACAUUAUAUCAAUUCCAAAUCUUUAUCUCUUCCUAUGCUAUUUAAGCAUAAAUGACCAAGCUCCCUUUAUAAAUAUUUUGUUGAGCACAUUCUGAAUGGGAAUAUCAGCCAUGCUGCUGGGUGACAUACAGACAGUUAGUGAGCCCUAUUGCUCUCUUCUCUGUUCUUAUAAUUUUCUUGGGUUUUGUUCCACAUUUUUCAGUGAUCUUCCAAUAUUUGCAGUCCCUAUGGGAUGUGUCCAGGUGAGUGUACUAAUUCUACUUUUGCUCAUACUCCUCUCUUGCCUCGACUCUGAGUAACAGAGCACCACUUCAAGCACCACUUCAUCCUUGUGCAUAUCUGUCUGCAACUCAGCCAACACUUCAGAAAUCCUUUAUCUUUCCAGAUUUUUCCCUGACUAAAGAUAGAUUUUGUUCUAUGUUGCUCCACCUUGGUCUUUUCAUAGCCUAUUACACCUAGACUUUAGCUUGAGGCUUUGUCUUUCUCCUGGGGUCUUAUGCCAUGGAUCAUAAAUGUCCAUCUUGAUAUAGGCACCAACCAGAUUGAGAAUGGCUUCCUACAGAUUUGAAUCUCUUUAUUCAAUGUAUGGGCCAAGAAAACAAUAUGAACAAAUACUCUUAAUUCUAUUUUCUUUGGUAAGACGUGCACCUCUUCUUUCAUGAACUUAAUUGAAUCUAAACUAUACCAUCUCACAACACUAGAAAAUUUCAGAGGCAGAUAGUCUCUGGGGUUCCCUCCUAAUAGAAAUUUCUUUCAAAUAGAGACUUAUCAAAGUUCAGAGAAUAUGAAACUAUGGAAGCCCCUAGCACAGAAAGACAGAAUUUGUUUUUAAUAAUGUGGAAAUAAUUUUAAUUUUUUAUGGUUGGAGAUAUAGAUGAUAAUUCAAGUAGAAAAUGGAAGUUGAAAUCUGUCCAUGUUUAUGCAACAAUGAAAACUGAGCUUGGGUGUUAUUUUUCAGUGGUGGAACCUGUCUAGACAAAUGAGAUUUCCCUCUCAGGUUGUGUCUGUAUGAGUCUCAAAUGAACACUUUUCCCUCACUUAACAGAUAAGCAGUUCUAGUACAGGCUGGUAACAUUUUAUUGCAUAUCAAAAAUGGGAACUGGGAAAAAAAAGGUGAAUACCAUUCACUGAGAUAAUAUUUACUUUGUCAGUCUGAAUAACAACUGCACUUGCUGCUACAGUCUUUCUACCAGUAUUUGACCUCCAUUUCCUCUCCUGUCUCUACUGAUUAUGAGUUAUUAUUUAAGCUCUAAACACAAAAGUCGAUUACUGGUUUUGACCUUGGUCAUUCAUGUAUCUUCUAUAUCAAGGUCUUGCACUUACCUGUCCUCUCAUAAAUUAAACUGGAUUUCAUAUUUAUCAGGCAGUCAGAAAUACAGCUACAGCACAACUGGCUCUUGACUUCUGACAGACAUUAAAUAAUCCAUAAUGAAAAAGGCAAAGUAUUUACAGAAAAGACAAUAUGAAAUAUGUUCAAUUAUAGGAGGUCUCUGGUUUUCCGCACUUACCCUCUGGAUACCUUCCUAUGAAUUUGAUGCAGGCUCUCUUGAACCAAGAAAAUGUGUCACUUUCACAGAAGCAACAUUCUAGUGAAAAUACACUAACAGCCAGCCAAUCCUCAAAAUUCAGGAUCAGGUCUAUGCUGUCAGAAGUAGAUUUUCCUGCUGUUGUUAUUUCUGGACAUGGAAGUACAUUUCCAAAAAGCAGACAUCAGCCUUAGAGCUAUGAUAAAAACUGUAGCUGUUGUACCAACUGGAAUAGUUAUGGAGCUGUAUGGCAGGAGGGCACAUGGAAAGAGGGAAUAGCUCUGGGAAGUUUUCUAAACUUCUCUUUGAGGAUGAAGUGCAUGAAAAUUUUGAAGUAUUCACCCUCAAAGAGAGGAUGAAGUCUUCUUGAUAAAAUGGAGGAAGAUGACUGUGGCUAUGGGAGAGGCAUCUGAAGAAAGACAGGCACAUAAACCCAGACAUUUUCAGACAGGUCUGUACUCCACGUGUUUGCACUGUCCCCUCCAGGUAUCCAGUGUUUGGUUACCAGUCUGGCCCCUGGUUUUAGCUCACCCAGCCAGAGGAAACUGGGAGUCUAAGUCAUCUCUCAUUCUGUUGCAGAGCGCUGAGAGGCCCCAGGAACAAAACUCCUUCCCCUCCUGUUCUUCCCAGACUCCCAGCUCCUGAAGUGGGAGAGAAACAUCUAAGCAAUAUUAAGUAAUGAGACUUGAAAAUCGGCAUUAGUUUUUCAAACAAAAUUUUUGUAUCAGCUUUAUAGAAGUAGCUUCACUCCUUGAUAUAUGAAGGAAAUUUGUACAGUUGGUGGUUUCUUAGGACAGGAGAUAGCUGUUGUGCUCUACUUGCAAUGUGCAAGUAAUGUACUCAUUAAGGUUUAUCCUGCAAAAUUGCCCACCCUCUUUUUGAAGUUUCAUACAACGGGCUUGUAACAUUCAUGUGAAUGAUUGAAAGCCAUCUUUUGAGCAUGCUAAUGUCAUUUCAUACAUUAAAUUGUCUCUUAAUAGCAGUAAAACCGUGUUUUCUCUCAUGCAGGGUUUAUACAUUUGCCUUAAUAAUUAUAAGAGCAGGCCAUUUCCUAGAUAAUUGCAAACAUUCACAAUUCACGUUUAAGUUUAUGCAUAAGGAUGUUAUAGGUACUGUAAAUUUCAUGCUUUAUGAAAGGUUCAAUCUGAUAUGUAUCUUUUAUGCACAGCCACUGAUUGAUGUGCCAGAGACUAAUAAAUUUUGUCUGAAGACUUUCACUGCAA